rnacentral:rRNA from 1 species
UACGUAGGGCGCAAGCGUUGUCCGGAAUUAUUGGGCGUAAAGAGCUCGUAGGCGGCCUGUUGCGUCCGCUGUGAAAUCCCGGGGCUUAACCCCGGGCUUGCAGUGGAUACGGGCAGGCUGGAGGCAGGCAGGGGGGAACGGAAUUCCUGGUGUAGCGGUGAAAUGCGCAGAUAUCAGGAGGAACACCAAUGGCGAAGGCAGCUCGCUGGGACGGUACUGACGCUGAGACGCGAAAGCGUGGGGAGCAAACAGG